UCUUAUGUUCAUACAAAUAUUUAAACAUGUUAAGUUUGCUGAAAACGCAGUUGACAGUGAGAGGACGUUUCUUUUUUUGCUGAGUUUAUACUCUACAGUUUGAAAUGUAGCUUUACUGUUCUUUUUUUAUAUUUAACACCACUGCUUAGGGAGUGGAUCUUCCAGGAUGUGCUGCAUGUGGACACGAAGAGAGUCUCUCUGGUCUUUAGAACCUUCUACACCAUCCUGAGAAAUGAAAUCAUCAGGAAGUACUCCAUAGUGAAAAGAUCUGAUCCUGAGCUAGCCUGAAGACUCACACGAAAUUCUUCAGCUGCUCUGUCGUUCACUACAUACUUUAGUCUGAGACUGCCAUCAUUGAAGUUGUUUGUGGUGAUGAGGGGCACUAGGGGUGUUGUACAAAAUAUAGUCAUCAGCGAUUGGAUCGUCUUUAACCAAUCAGAUUAUUCAGGCCAAUAAAAUAUGUUCUAACUGCAGUUUUAAUCCAGUGUGUUCUGGCCCAACCCAUCGGUUUCUGGACCAAUCAGACGGACCCAUGCGUUUCCAUUCGGUGGUGAAUGUUCGGAGAGGUUCCCAGAUCCAGACAAAAAAAAAAAAAUAUGACAUUUUGUAGGCGUGGCGUAGGGUUUGGCAGCAGCAAGUAGUCUUGAUAGCCAGGAAAAUCCUGAGCACCAGUAGUAUCUGAAAGUAGAUGAGCCAGUAUUUUGUGGUUGCAGGUUACUGUAAAUGACGAUAUAAAUAAACCAUUACAUACUCGCUGCA